UACGUAGGUCCCGAGCGUUGUCCGGAUUUAUUGGGCGUAAAGCGAGCGCAGGUGGUUUAUUAAGUCUGGUGUAAAAGGUAGUGGCUCAACCAUUGUAUGCAUUGGAAACUGGUAGACUUGAGUGCAGGAGAGGAGAGUGGAAUUCCAUGUGUAGCGGUGAAAUGCGUAGAUAUAUGGAGGAACACCGGUGGCGAAAGCGGCUCUCUGGCCUGUAACUGACACUGAGGCACGAAAGCGUGGGGAGCAAAUAGG
rnacentral:rRNA from 1 species